GAUGAACGCUAGCGGCAGGCUUAACACAUGCAAGUCGAGGGGCAGCACGUCUUCGGAUGGUGGCGACCGGCGCACGGGUGAGUAACGCGUAUGCAAUCUACCUUUUACAGGGGCAUAGCCCGGGGAAACCCGGAUUAAUAUCCUAUAGUACCAUUAUAUAGCAUUAUAUUAUGGUUAAAGUUUCGGCGGUAAAAGAUGAGCGUGCGUCCUAUUAGCUUGAUGGUAAGGUAACGGCUUACCAUGGCUAUGAUAGGUAGGGGUCCUGAGAGGGAGACCCCCCACACUGGUACUGAGACACGGACCAGACUCCUACGGGAGGCAGCAGUGAGGAAUAUUGGACAAUGGGCGCAAGCCUGAUCCAGCCAUGCCGCGUGCAGGAAGACGGCCCUAUGGGUUGUAAACUGCUUUUAUACGGGAAGAAACACCCCUUCGUGAAGGGACUUGACGGUACCGUAUGAAUAAGGAUCGGCUAACUCCGUGCCAGCAGCCGCGGUAAUACGGAGGAUCC
rnacentral:rRNA from 1 species